rnacentral:rRNA from 1 species
AGCUAUAUGAAAUUAUAUAUAGUUAAACCUGCCCAAUGUAUAUAUUAUAUGAAUGGCCGCGGUACCCUGACCGUGCUAAGGUAGCGUAAUAAGUUGGCUUUUAAAUGGAGUCAGGUAUGAAUGGGAUAACUGGGUUUAGCUGUCUCAUAGAUGUUAUUUCGAAUUUACUGUUCAAGUGAAAAAGCUUGAUUUUUAUAAGGGGACGAGAAGACCCUUAAAAUUUUUUUAAAAUAUGGUUAAUUACUAUUUCAAUUUUGUUGGGGCGACAUAGAAAUAAUAAUAACUUUCUGUAAUUUUACUUGCCGGAUAUAUCAAGAAGGAAUAAAUUACUUAAGGGAUAACAGCAUAAUUCUAAAAUUGAGUUUGUGACCUCGAUGUUGGACUAGGAAGCUAAUAGGUUAGAUGCUUAUUUUGGGGAUUCUGUUCGAAUUUUAACUCCU